rnacentral:rRNA from 1 species
AGAGUUUGAUCCUGGCUCAGGAUGAACGCUGGCGGCGUGCUUAACACAUGCAAGUCGAGCGAAGCACUUUUUUAGAACUCUUCGGAGGGAAGAGAGGGUGACUUAGCGGCGGACGGGUGAGUAACGCGUGGGCAACCUGCCUUACACAGGGGGAUAACAAUUAGAAAUGAUUGCUAAUACCGCAUAAGACCCCGGUACCGCAUGGUACAGGGGUAAAAACUGAGGUGGUGUAAGAUGGGCCCGCGUCUGAUUAGGUAGUUGGUGGGGUAGAAGCCUACCAAGCCGACGAUCAGUAGCCGACCUGAGAGGGCGACCGGCCACAUUGGGACUGAGACACGGCCCAAACUCCUACGGGAGGCAGCAGUGGGGAAUAUUGCACAAUGGGGGAAACCCUGAUGCAGCGACGCCGCGUGAGUGAGGAAGUAUUUCGGUAUGUAAAGCUCUAUCAGCAGGGAAGAAAAUGACGGUACCUGACUAAGAAGCCCCGGCUAACUACGUGCCAGCAGCCGCGGUAAUACGUAGGGGGCAAGCGUUAUCCGGAUUUUCUGGGUGUAAAGGGAGCGUAGACGGAAUUGCAAGUCUGAUGUGAAAAUCCGGGGCCCAACCCCGGAACUGCAUUGGAAACUGUAUUUCUAGAGUGUCGGAGAGGCAAGUGGAAUUCCUGGUGUAGCGGUGAAAUGCGUAGAUAUCAGGAGGAACACCAGUGGCGAAGGCGGCCUGCUGGACGAUGACUGACGUUGAGGCUCGAAAGCGUGGGGAGCAAACAGGAUUAGAUACCCUGGUAGUCCACUCCGUAAACGAUGACUACUAGGUGUCGGGAGGCAAAGCCUGUCGGUGCGGCAGCCAACGCAAUAAGUGGUCCACAGGGGGAGUACGUUCGCAGGAAUGAGACUCAAAGGAAUGGACGGGGGGGCCCGCACAAGCGGGUGGAGCAUGUGGUUAAAUUUAGAAGCGACGCGGAGAACCUUGCCUGGCCUUGACUUCCCGGUGACAGCGGAGUAAUGUCCGUUUUCCUUCGGGACACUGGAGACAGGUGGUGCAUGGUUGUCGUCAGCUCGUGUCGUGAGAUGUUGGGUUAAGUCCCGCAACGAGCGCAACCCUUACCUUCAGUAGCCAGCAUAGUAGAUGGGCACUCUGGAGGGACUACCAGGGGACAACCUGGAGGAAGGUGGGGAUGACGUCAAAUCAUCAUGCCCCUUAUGGCCAGGGCUACACACGUGCUACAAUGGCGUAAACAAAGAGAAGCGACCACGUGAGGGUGAGCGAAUCUCAAAAAUAACGUCUCAGUUCGGAUGGUAGUGUGCAACUCGACUACAUGAAGCUGGAAUCGCUAGUAAUCGCGGAUCAGAAUGCCGCGGUGAAUACGUUCCCGGGUCUUGUACUCACCGCCCGUCA